UAGGGAAUAUUAGUAAUGGGCGAAAGCCUGAACCAGCCAAGUCGCGUGAAGGAAGAAGGUUCUAUGGAUUGUAAACUUCUUUUGCAGGGGAAUAAAUGACGGUACGUGUACUGUUUUGUAUGUACCUUGCGAAUAAGGAUCGGCUAACUCCGUGCCAGCAGCCGCGGUAAUACGGAGGAUCCGAGCGUUAUCCGGAUUUAUUGGGUUUAAAGGGGGCGUAGGUGGAUUGUUAAGUCAGUGGUGAAAGUUUUCAGCUCAACUGAAAAAUUGCCGUUGAAACUGUCGAUCUUGAGUGCAAAUGAGGUAGGCGGAAUGUGUUGUGUAGCGGUGAAAUGCUUAGAUAUAACACAGAACUCCGAUUGCGAAGGCAGCUUACUGGGAUGCAACUGACACUGAUGCACGAAGGCUUGGGUAUCAAACA
rnacentral:rRNA from 1 species